UAGUCCACGCAGUAAACGAUGAGUGCUAGUUAUUGGGACCUUAGGUUUCGGUGGCGAAGCUAACGCGUUAAGCACUCCGCCUGGGGAGUACGGCCGCAAGGCUAAAACUCAAAGGAAUUGACGGGGACCCGCACAAGCAGUGGAGCAUGUGGUUUAAUUCGAUGCAACGCGAGAAACCUUACCAGCCCUUGUAUCCUAGUCGCGAUUUUCAGAGAUGAAUUUCUUCAGUUCGGCUGGACUAGUGACAGGUGUUGCAUGGCUGUCGUCAGCUCGUGUCGUGAGAUGUUAGGUUAAGUCCUUCAACGAGCGCAACCCUCAUCCUUAUUUGCCAUCGGGUUAUGCCGGGAACUAUAAGGAAACUGCCAACGAUAAGUUGGAGGAAGGCGGGGAUGAUGUCAAGUCAUCAUGGCCCUUAUGGGCUGGGCUACACACAUGCUACAAUGGUGAUCACAACGGGUAUGCGAAAGAGCAAUCUGGAGCUAAUCCUUCAAAAGUCA
rnacentral:rRNA from 1 species